GUCCCCGUAGUUCAACGGACAGAACACCUCCCUUCUAAGGAGGGGAUCGAGGUUCGAUUCCUCGCGGGGACACAA
rnacentral:tRNA from 1 species